AAACGUUCUGUGGUCUGAGGAGUGGGAAUAGGGCUCGAUAUUAGUGCAGCCAAAACGGGGAAUGAACGGGCCGCCUUAUUCUGCAUAUGGCUCCGAUCAAGUGGCUUGGAGAGACGCGAGGAAAUUGAAAAGAGAGGCUCACAUCUCAACCCUGUGCAUUGGUGAGCCAUCAAAGCCAAAGGCAUCUUCGUCUUCCUCCAGCGGCGUUUCCCAGGCUGUACCAGAGACUUGCUAACAGACCCACUUCG
rnacentral:misc_RNA from 1 species